rnacentral:tRNA from 1 species
AGGUCGAUAGUGUUAAUGGUAGCACAACAGUCUCCAAAACUGUUAGUCCUGGUUCAAAUCCAGGUCGACCUG